rnacentral:rRNA from 1 species
GCCUGAUCCAGCCAUGCCGCGUGUGUGAAGAAGGUCUUCGGAUUGUAAAGCACUUUAAGUUGGGAGGAAGGGCAGUAAGCGAAUACCUUGCUGUUUUGACGUUACCGACAGAAUAAGCACCGGCUAACUCUGUGCCAGCAGCCGCGGUAAUA